GAGUUUGAUCGUGGCUCAGAUUGAACGCUGGCGGCAUGCCUUACACAUGCAAGUCGAACGGUAACAGGUCUUCGGAUGCUGACGAGUGGCGAACGGGUGAGUAAUACAUCGGAACGUGCCCGAUCGUGGGGGGAUAACGAAGCGAAAGCUUUGCUAAUACCGCAUAAGAUCUACGGAUGAAAGCAGGGGACCGCAAGGCCUUGCGCGAACGGAGCGGCCGAUGGCAGAUUAGGUAGUUGGUGGGAUAAAAGCUUACCAAGCCGACGAUCUGUAGCUGGUCUGAGAGGACGACCAGCCACACUGGGACUGAGACACGGCCCAGACUCCUACGGGAGGCAGCAGUGGGGAAUUUUGGACAAUGGGCGAAAGCCUGAUCCAGCCAUGCCGCGUGCAGGAUGAAGGCCUUCGGUUG
rnacentral:rRNA from 1 species